GGUGGCCCUAAAUGUAGUGUCAAGGCACAAAUGAAAACCUUUGAGAAUGAGCACUAGUGUGAUAGAGAUUGAUGUGAUAAAUAGCCAUAGACACCAAUUCUCUCAACUCAGGAUGUUGUGCAAGCACCGUCCGGUCUACUCCCUCAAGGGCAGUCAACACCCUAGCUUGUUCCAAAGCUUCAUUGUUCCCAGCAUGUAAUACAAGAUGACAUAGGAGAAUCAAUCCAUGAAACUGUGCCCGUUCAUUCCCUCUCAGCAAUCUCAUCAAAGGUAGUACACCAUUGAACUCCACUAUUGCCUUUGAAUGAGCAUCACACAGAAAAUUCUCUGAACAAGUGAACUUCCCCAGUGCAAUGGCAGCUUCUGUUGCCACUUCCUGGCUCCUACUACUAAGCUGGGCAACUAAAGGACCGAUAACUCGAGUUUCCCUAGCCGGAAAAGUUCUAGCCAAUGAACCAAUCGAUCUUAUGGCUGGAAUUUGCAACUUUGGACUGUCCGAUUCUUUAAUCGCCCUCAAGAGCUGAUCAAUAACUGCCUUGGCAGCAGGGGAAUUAGUCUUAAAAGCUGCACGUCUAAGGUCGGCAUUGGAUUCAGCUGCCGCAGUUAUCUCCUUUAUAGUCAUCAAGCAAUUGUAUUGCAAUUCCCCUUCUUCCAUCUCGACCAAUUUCGCCAAACAAAGCAACCCUUUUGUCUCUGUUAUUCUCUUACUAUUUGACACACUUCCCCUAGCAAGCAUCCACAAAGCCUCUGCACAACUAAUUUUCAACUUAAGCUUUACUUCAGGCUUCUCAUUUUCCCUCCCUUUCCUAUUUCCACCUCUACUACUCCCCUCCGAGUGAAAACUGGAAAACGAAGUCAUAUAUGGCCUAUAAUGAUGGUUAUUCUUCGACCCAUUUAUCGAAUUUUUCUCCAUUUCUUUGUUAAUCUGAAUGAUAGAAUGAAUACUCUGCUUACCCAACUGAACCAUUUGGUCAUCAGAGAAAGUCUCGAAAGAUAGCAGCGUGACAAGCGGUCGAAUUACAUUCUCCCUUGCGAAAUCAUCCUGCGCAACGGAAUCGUUUUCUGCCAUUCUUGCCACCAAACUGGCCGUCAGAGUCUGAACCCUCAUUGGAGAAUCUGCCAGAACCUUCACUACAAUGGGAACCCCUUGUUCAUUCACAAUAGUCGUUACCCUCUCCUGAUCAUUAGCCAAGUACAGAAGCGCAGUGGCACCCGCAAUUUGCGCCUCCGGCGAAUCAGUCUCCUUUAACAGCUUCAACAGCGGCGGAACGCCGGCUUCUUCCACUAUAAUUUGCUUGUUUCGAUCAUUAUCUUGGGCAAGCUGGGCUAGUUGAUUAGCAGCUUCAAUUUUUUCAGGUAAUGGGCGGACAUGAAUAGAAGCGAUAGAGGACCAAACCCAAGCGAGAAUUGGAUCGUUGCUUGCAAUUGGCGGAAGAGUAAGAUCAAUACCAACAUCCUCACCCGCAGCGCCAUUUCCGAAGCCUAAGAUACUCUCGAGCCAUUUCACGUCACCAACAGAAGCUUCAAGGAGAUUUUGCACUUUCCUGAAAUCAGUGGCGCUGAUGAUCGUAACAACCCGGCGCAGCACAUUCCGGCGCUUACACUUGCGUACUAGGGUUAGGGCACGGUCGAGAUUCUUGAAAACCUCGGCGAUAAUCCGACGAACAGGCCGCUCAUAGAACGAUUGAGCAGAACAGGUGAAGCGGACAAGUAACCGCAGCUUCUCAGCGAGCAUAUCGGUGUAAUUGCCGAUGGUACUACACUCUAACUUGAAGGAAUCAGCCUCCUCAACAGCGGAGCGGACUCGCUCGGCGAGUAGGAUCGGGUAACUGAGUUCCUCGCCGAUUCGCUUCUCUUCCAUGAGAAGGUCAGGUGGGGUGCGUCGGUGACUGAGUAGUUGAAUGAAAUCGGCAAGGGGGUUUAGUGUUGUACCUUGUUUGGAUUGGGGGAAAGUGUAGGGAUAGUCAGAGAAAGAGAGGAAGGAAAGGGAAGGAGGGUAUGAUGAUGGAUCAUUUGGGUAUUAUGGUUGGUUGGUUGGUUGGUUGAUUGGUUCAUUCUUUGGUCGCAUGUUUGCGUUGUGUGGGUUAUUUGAUUUUCCUGGGGAAUUGUGUUAAUGCUUGUUUGUUUACUCUCUCUCUCUUUCUUCUUAGACUGAAUGGAAAGCGCGUGGAACGGAAGAAAAAGAGUAAAAGACAAGUCAAAAAAGAAGCCUGGAAAUUGGAAGGAAGGAAAUAUAACAGUCGCCAGCGUAACCCUAAUUGAAAAGGCUGGGGAAGUGGAAAAUUUUAGGGCAUUGUUUGGUUGGAAAAGUAGAGUAAAAAUGUAAAAUUUUAUGAGAAGUCUUGUACUCUUAUUUGGUUUAUAUUAUCAAAUUAAUUUU
rnacentral:misc_RNA from 1 species